ACGAACCAAGCGAACGUUAUUCGGAAUUACUGGGCUUAAAGCGCGUGUAGGCGGACUACCACGUUGGUUGUUGAAAUCCCCCGGCUUAACCGGGGAACUGGCACCAAUACGAGUAGUCUGGAGGUGGGUAGGGGAGACUGGAACUUCCGGUGGAGCGGUGAAAUGCGUUGAGAUCGGAAGGAACGCCCGCGGCGAAAGCGAGUCUCUGGACCCAAACUGACGCUGAGACGCGAAAGCCAGGGGAGCAAACGGGAUUAGAUACCCCGGUAGUCCUGGCUGUAAACAUUGGGCACUGGGUAGUGGAACCGCCGAUGGUUUCACUGCCGCAGGGAAACCGUGAAGUGCCCCGCCUGGGGAGUAUGGUCGCAAGGCUG
rnacentral:rRNA from 1 species